AUUGAACGCUGGCGGAAUGCUUUACACAUGCAAGUCGAACGGUAGAGGGGGCAACCCCUUGAGAGUGGCGAACGGGUGAGUAAUAUAUCGGAACGUGCCCAGUCGUGGGGAUAACGUAGCGAAAGUUACGCUAAUACCGCAUACGAUCUAAGGAUGAAAGCGGGGGACUCGCAAGAGCCUCGCGCGAUUGGAGCGGCCGAUAUCAGAUUAGGUAGUUGGUGGGGUAAAGGCUCACCAAGCCGACGAUCUGUAGCUGGUCUGAGAGGACGACCAGCCACACUGGGACUGAGACACGGCCCAGACUCCUACGGGAGGCAGCAGUGGGGAAUUUUGGACAAUGGGCGCAAGCCUGAUCCAGCAAUGCCGCGUGCAGGAUGAAGGCCUUCGGUUGUAAC
rnacentral:rRNA from 1 species